UACGUAGGUGGCAAGCGUUGUCCGGAUUUACUGGGCGUAAAGGGCGCGUAGGCGGCGCGACAAGUCACUUGUGAAAUCUCUGGGCUCAACCCAGAACGGUCAAGUGAUACUGUCGUGCUAGAGUGCGGAAGGGGCAACUGGAAUUCUUGGUGUAGCGGUGAAAUGCGUAGAUAUCAAGAGGAACACCUGCGGCGAAGGCGGGUUGCUGGGCCGACACUGACGCUGAGGCGCGAAAGCCAGGGGAGCGAACGGG
rnacentral:rRNA from 1 species